rnacentral:rRNA from 1 species
AUUGAACGCUGGCGGCAGGCUUAACACAUGCAAGUCGAGCGAGCGGCGGACGGGUGAGUAAUGUCUGGGAAACUGCCUGAUGGAGGGGGAUAACUACUGGAAACGGUAGCUAAUCCCGCAUACCAUCAGAUGUGCUCAGAGGGGUUAAGCUAGUAGGUGGGGUAAUGGUUCACCUCGGGGACGAUGCCUGGCUGGUCUGAGAGGAUGACAAGCCACACUGGAACGAGGACACGGUCCAGACUCCUACGGGAGGCAGCAUUGGGAAAUAUUGAACAAUGGGCGCAAGCCUGAUGCAGCCAUGCCGCGUGUGUGAAGAAGGCCUUCGGGUUGUAAAGCACUUUCAGCGAGGAGGCGUUACUCGCAGAAGAAGCACCGGCUAACUCCGUGCCAGCAGCCGCGGUAAUAC